rnacentral:lncRNA from 1 species
GAGUUAAAAAUAUGAGGAGAGUGAUUGGGAGGUGCAGGACCUCAGGCAGCUGGGUGAGGCGGGGUGGGGGGGCGGUGGCUCAGGUAGGGCGAGUCUGGGAGGGGGCAGGAGGGAAGGAUGCAGAGACCAACUGAGGGAGGCUGAGGAACAGAGAGAGACAGCCACAUGCAGGGACACAGGUAGAUGGAGAGAGGGGCAAGGGAACAGAGAGAGAGGGAAGGGCAGAGAGAGAGAGGACGGGACACAGAGGGUGAGAGGCAGCACACACACAGAGACAGACAUCCAUAGGAGGUACAGAAAGGGUGGAGAGUGGGAGAGGCUGAGAGAAAGAUGUGGGAGAUUGAGUGUGCUCUUGGCAAAGGUCUACAAUAAUUGGAGUGGGUUCAACGGUCAAGGCCAUGCUGUGGGGAAGAACAGGAACAGGGUCAAUUACAUCCUGCGGAUCCCUCAACACACCACCCCAUGGCAGCAAUUAGACACGAGGGAAACUGGAUUUAAUGUGAAUUUUGAAGGCAGCCAUGGGAAUGACAAGUAGAACACAUUGUCUUCAAUGUGGCCAGUGGCCCGCCAGGCAACCCAACCUGGCGCCUUCGUCUAUGAUGAAGGCUACAAAGCGUGAUUCCUUGGUCCCAGCCCCUGCUUGCCAGGUGGUCUCUCUGCGUGUCUCUGUCUUCAUGUGGUGCUUUCUUCUUCUUACAAGGACAUCAGCCAUGCUGGAUUAGUUCCCACUACUACUCUCUGGGACCCCCAAAUCAGGUGCCAAGAACAUACACUGGGGAAAAGGCAGUCUCUU